UGACUAUGUCAACAGACGGAGCCAAUUAAAUUCAUAUGGUGACUGAUAGUCGACAUCACGACUUUAUUGAAUAAAUAAAUAUAAAUAAUGCUUGUAUCAGAAUAGAAAUUUAGGAACACAUUGCUUGAUUCUUGAUAACGAUAAGAAAAUAAUUGUCGAAUGUUUUCCAUGUAGUUUAUGUUGUGUUAUUGUAUUCUGCUCAACCACUGAACGCCACGCCAGGAGUUUAGGCAACGAUUUCUAGACUCAUCCAAAAUGGCAUUCUCUCAGAGACCGGUGACUGCGAAAAUUGGAUCUGUUCUUUUGUUGAUUUCGUUUAUAGCUGCUUUGAUUGGAAUCAUAUCGCCAUCGUGGUAUAAAUAUGAAAUCAAAUUUGGUGGACUUUGGUUGCACUGUACUAGAUCCCAAGAAAGUUUGGGUUGUAUUUUAUACCAAGUACCUUUCGAGCUAGCUUGGUAUUAUGCUGUCGUGAUAUUAGUGACAAUUGGAGUUGUAUUUUUGUUUAUAUCAACAUGUGCAGCUUUCUGUGCUACCAGUAGAGUGGUUGGUGCUGUUUUAGGUAUACUAGGAGGGCUGAUGGUUUUUAUCUCUGUUGUGCUUUACUAUGUGAAUAAAAAAGAAUCUACGGCGAAUUAUAAUGGGUUACUGGACUGGGGAUUCUUCUUGUCCGGGGUGUCCGGAGGUCUUGGUGUUAUAGGCGGAUUGCUCUUAAUACCCGGUCAAUACCAAAAUGCCUAUACAGCUUAUUAAUAAGUAUAUUUCUAAUUUGUUGUUAUUGCUUGUCUAUAAAUAAUUGAUCUACAGAUUUGUUACUCUUUUUGCUUGAAAAAGUUGAGAUGGUAAAUUAAAGGAGCUAAAUCGCUAAUAUUUGGAACCUAGGAAUUGACACAAAUGGGUCGCAACGAAUAUAAAAAUGUAAUCUAAUUGUAUAUAAACUGAUUUACAUUCAA